AUUGGUCAUCCAUAUGUUCAAAUCCUGCAAGGCCAUCAAGCUGGUAAUCCAAAUGGUCACGUGAAAGAGCAGUUUGCUGAAGAGACUCCUCUGAUGAUCCUCCCCCUAUAAUUGAACUAGACUGGUCUUUAUCAUGGACAGAACUUUCCACCUCAACUUCAUUAGAGAAAUUGAAGUUGAGUACUUCAUGAGUCAAUUUUGAAUCAAUAACAAAACUUUCGUUAGGAAACUCAAAACUUUCUGACUCGCUUAUUCCCCAUUUUGGCCAACUUUCUGGUGACGGGAACCUAUCUGAUAGUUCUUGCUUCUUUGGGACAACAAAUUCGUCAAUAUUGCUCCCAAUGUACCAAUCCAUGAUAAAUUAUCUGGCUGAGUUGGUAAAUUGAUUCAGAAAAUGAAGACCCAGAAGCUGAAACAAAGAAGUGAAGCAACCCAGAUGGAAAAGAAAAACUGGCAACACGUUAGAAGGGUUCCUGUUUUUUUACAGAGGUUAGCAAGGAAGUGCAGCCUUAGCUGCUUAACAGAGGUAGCUCAGGUUUUUUG
rnacentral:misc_RNA from 1 species